rnacentral:rRNA from 1 species
UGGGGAAUUUUGGACAAUGGGCGAAAGCCUGAUCCAGCAAUGCCGCGUGUGUGAAGAAGGCCUUCGGGUUGUAAAGCACUUUUGUCCGGAAAGAAAAUCCUUGGCUCUAAUACAGUCGGGGGAUGACGGUACCGGAAGAAUAAGCACCGGCUAACUACGUGCCAGCAGCCGCGGUAAUACGUAGGGUGCAAGCGUUAAUCGGAAUUACUGGGCGUAAAGCGUGCNCAGGCGGUUUGCUAAGACCGAUGUGAAAUCCCGGGCUCAACCUGGGAACUGCAUUGGUGACUGGCAGGCUAGAGUAUGGCAGAGGGGGGUAGAAUUCCACGUGUGAGCAGUGAAAAUGCGUAGAGAUGUGGAGGAAUACCGAUGGCGAAGGCAGCCCCCUGGGCCAAUAUCUGACGCUCAUGCACGAAA